rnacentral:rRNA from 1 species
GACGAACGCUGGCGGCGUGCCUAAUUCAUGCAAGUAGAACGCACAGUUUAUACCAUAGCUUGCUACACCAUAAACUGUGAGUUGCGAACGGGUGAGUAACGCGUAGGUAACCUGCCUGGUAGCGGGGGAUAACUAUUGGAAACGAUAGCUAAUACCGCAUAAUAUUGAUUAUUGCAUGAAAAUUGAUUGAAAGAUGCUAUUGCUUCACUACUAGAUGGACCUGCGUUGUAUUAGCUAGUAGGUGAGGUAACGGCUCACCUAGGCGACGAUACAUAGCCGACCUGGGGAGGUGUUCGGCCACACUGGGAGGGAGAAAAGGCCCAGACUCCCGAGGGGGGCAGCGGUAGGGAAUAUUCGGCAAUGGACGGAAGGCUGACCGAGCAACGCCGCGUGGGUGAAGAAGGGUUUCGGAUCGUAAAGCACUGUUGUAAGAGAAGAACGGGUGUGAGAGUGGAAAGUUCACACUGUGACGGUAUCUUACCAGAAAGGGACGGCUAACUACGUG